AGAGUUUGAUCAUGGCUCAGGAUGAACGCUAGCGGCAGGCUUAACACAUGCAAGUCGAGGGGCAGCAUAAUGGAUAGCAAUAUCUAUGGUGGCGACCGGCGCACGGGUGCGUAACGCGUAUGCAACCUACCUUUAACAGGGGGAUAACACUGAGAAAUUGGUACUAAUACCCCAUAAUAUCAUAGAAGGCAUCUUUUAUGGUUGAAAAUUCCGAUGGUUAGAGAUGGGCAUGCGUUGUAUUAGCUAGGUUGGUGGGGUAACGGCUCACCAAGGCGACGAGUACAUAGGGGGACUGAGAGGUUAACCCCCANACUGGUACUGAGACACGGACCAGACUCCUACGGGAGGCA
rnacentral:rRNA from 1 species